rnacentral:tRNA from 1 species
GAACUUGUUAAGCAGUUUGAGCGUGUCCGGUCGGCUCAUAACCGAUUGGUCGUUGGUUCGAAUCCAGCCGGGCCCA